UGGGGAAUUUUGGACAAUGGGCGAAAGCCUGAUCCAGCAAUGCCGCGUGUGUGAAGAAGGCCUUCGGGUUGUAAAGCACUUUUGUCCGGAAAGAAAUCCUUGGCUCUAAUACAGUCGGGGGAUGACGGUACCGGAAGAAUAAGCACCGGCUAACUACGUGCCAGCAGCCGCGGUAAUACGUAGGGUGCAAGCGUUAAUCGGAAUUACUGGGCGUAAAGCGUGCGCAGGCGGUUUGCUAAGACCGAUGUGAAAUCCCCGGGCUCAACCUGGGAACUGCAUUGGUGACUGGCAGGCUAGAGUAUGGCAGAGGGGGGUAGAAUUCCACGUGUAGCAGUGAAAUGCGUAGAGAUGUGGAGGAAUACCGAUGGCGAAGGCAGCCCCCUGGGCCAAAUACUGACGCUCAUGCACGAAAAGCGUGGGGGAGCAAAACAGGAUUAGAUACCCCUGGUAGUCCACGCCCUAAAACGAUGUCAACUAGUUGUUGGGGAUUCAUUUCCUUAGUAACGUAGCUAACGCGUGAAGUUGACCGCCUGGGGAGUACGGUCGCAAGAUUAAAAACUUAAAUGAAUUGACGGGG
rnacentral:rRNA from 1 species